GAAUAUUGGACAAUGGGCGAGAGCCUGAUCCAGCCAUGCCGCGUGCAGGAAGACUGCCCUAUGGGUUGUAAACUGCUUUUACAGAGGAAGAACCACCCCCACGUGCGGGGGUUUGACGGUACUCUGCGAAUAAGGAGCGGCUAACUCCGUGCCAGCAGCCUCGGUAAUACGGAGGAUCCAAGCGUUAUCCGGAAUCAUUGGGUUUAAAGGGUCCGUAGGCGGGCAGUUAAGUCAGUGGUGAAAGUCUUCCGCUCAACGGGAGAACUGCCAUUGAUACUGAUUGUCUUGAGUUAUUAUGAAGUGGUUAGAAUGAGUAGUGUAGCGGUGAAAUGCAUAGAUAUUACUCAGAAUACCGAUUGCGAAGGCAGAUCACUAAUAAUAUACUGACGCUGAUGGACGAAAGCGUAGGUAGCGAACAGG
rnacentral:rRNA from 1 species